rnacentral:hammerhead_ribozyme from 1 species
AUUCAGCCGACGAGUCCCAAAUGGGAUGAAACGCGCGUAGUGGAU